rnacentral:lncRNA from 1 species
UCCCUCCCUCUCCCUCUCCCUCUCCCUUUCUCCCCCUCUCUCCCUCUCUCUCUCUUAAUAAUAGCUACAUAUCUUACACUCAUUAAAACGUAAUAUUGUUUCUCUACAUCAAGAGAUUCCUUCAAUGUUUUACUGAUCCUCUGGCCAAAGAAGAAGAAAAUGUUGGCAUAGAUAUUACGCAACCUUUGUACAUGCAACGACUUGGAGAGAUUAAUAUUACAGGAGAGCCAUUUUUAAAUGUGAACUGUGAACACAUAAAAUCAUUUGGCAAAAACUUGUAUAGACAGCUCAUCUCCUACCCACAGGAGGUUAUACCAACCUUUGACAUGGCUGUCAAUGAGAUCUUCUUUGACCGUUAUCCUGACUCCAUCUUAGAACAUCAGAUUCAAGUCAGACCUUUUAAUG